rnacentral:rRNA from 1 species
AACGAACGCUGGCGGCGCGCCUAAUACAUGCAAGUCGAGCGGUAAGGCCCUUUCGGGGGUACACGAGCGGCGAACGGGUGAGUAACACGUGGGUGACCUGCCCUCAGCUCUGGGAUAAGCCCGGGAAACUGGGUCUAAUACCGGAUAUGACUCCAUGACGCAUGUUGUGGGGUGGAAAGCCUUGUGCGGCUGAGGAUGGGCCCGCGGCCUAUCAGCUUGUUGGUGGGGUGAUGGCCACCAAGGCGACGACGGGUAGCCGGCCUGAGAGGGCGACCGGCCACACUGGGACUGAGAUACGGCCCAGACCCCUACCGGGAGGGCAGCAGUGGGGAAGUCUUGCGCAGUGGGCGGAAAGACCUGACGCAGCGACGCCGCGUGAGGGA